rnacentral:ncRNA from 2 species
GUCUCGCAUCAAGAGUUGGGCGUCGCCCAACGCCAACCUGCUUCCCGAGCAAGGUGGCGCUCCCAUUGGGGGGAUGUGGCCGAGGCGGCAACGAACCGGGUGAUC